rnacentral:rRNA from 1 species
AUUGAACGCUGGCGGCAGGCUUAACACAUGCAAGUCGAGCGGGGAAGGGUAGCUUGCUACCUGACCUAGCGGCGGACGGGUGAGUAAUGCUUAGGAAUCUGCCUAUUAGUGGGGGACAACAUUCCGAAAGGAAUGCUAUUACCGCAUACGCCCUACGGGGGAAAGCAGGGGAUCUUCGGACCUUGCGCUAAUAGAUGAGCCUAAGUCAGAUUAGCUAGUUGGUGGGGUAAAGGCCUACCAAGGCGACGAUCUGUAGCGGGUCUGAGGGGAUGAUCCGCCACACUGGGACUGAGACACGGCCCAGACUCCUACGGGAGGCAGCAGUGGGGAAUAUUGGACAAUGGGCGAAAGCCUGAUCCAGCCAUGCCGCGUGUGUGAAGAAGGCCUUUUGGUUGUAAAGCACUUUAAGCGAGGAGGAGGCUACCGAGAUUAAUACUCUUGGAUAGUGGACGUUACUCGCAGAAUAAGCACCGGCUAACUCUGUGCCAGCCGCCGCAGUAACAC